GAUGAACGCUGGCGGCGUGCCUAAUACAUGCAAGUCGAGCGAACAGACUAGGAGCUUGCUCCUUUGACGUUAGCGGCGGACGGGUGAGUAACACGUAGGUAACCUACCUAUAAGACUGGGAUAACUUCGGGAAACCGGAGCUAAUACCGGAUAAUAUUUCGAACCGCAUGGUUCGAUAGUGAAAGAUGGCUUUGCUUUCACUUAUAGAUGUACCUGCGCCGUAUUAGCUAGUUGGUAAGGUAACGGCUUACCAAGGCAACGAUACGUAGCCGACCUGAGAGGGUGAUCGGCCACAAUGGAACUGAGACACGGUCCAGACUCCUACGGGAGGCAGCAGUAGGGAAUCUUCCGCAAAGGGCGAAAGCCUGACGGAGCAACGCCGCGUGAGUGAUGAAGGUCUUCGGAUCGUAAAACUCUGUUAUUAGGGAAGAACAAACGUGUAAGUAACUGUGCACGUCUUGACGGUACCUAAUCAGAAAGCCACGGCUAACUACGUG
rnacentral:rRNA from 1 species